rnacentral:tRNA from 1 species
GCCGGUGUGGCGGAACUGGUAGACGCUGCAACUUGUCACGUUGCUGAGCGCAAGCUCGUGUGGGUUCGAGUCCCACCGCCGGCA